rnacentral:sRNA from 1 species
AUGCCGCGGCCCCAGUAAACGCCAUCACCAGACCCCUGA